UACGAAGGGGGCUAGCGUUGUUCGGAAUUACUGGGCGUAAAGCGCACGUAGGCGGAUAUUUAAGUCGGGGGUGAAAUCCCGGGGCUCAACCCCGGAACUGCCUUCGAUACUGGGUAUCUUGAGUUCGGAAGAGGUGAGUGGAAUUCCUAGUGUAGAGGUGAAAUUCGUAGAUAUUAGGAAGAACACCAGUGGCGAAGGCGGCUCACUGGCCCGGUACUGACGCUCAUGUGCGAAAGCGUGGGGAGCAAACAGG
rnacentral:rRNA from 1 species